rnacentral:tRNA from 1 species
GUGGCUGUAGUUCAGUUGGUAGAGCAACGGAUUGUGAUUCCGUGUGUCGCGGGUUCAAGCCCCGUCAGCCACCCCA